rnacentral:precursor_RNA from 1 species
AAUAUCUUGGUCAUCUGAUCCAAUUCAGAUUUGCCGGGAAGUAG